GAUCAUGGCUCAGGAUGAACGCUGGCGGCGUGCCUAAUACAUGCAAGUCGAACGCUUCACAUUUGUGAAGAGUGGCGAACGGGUGAGUAAUACAUAAGUAACCUGGCAUCUACAGGGGGAUAACUGAUGGAAACGUCAGCUAAGACCGCAUAGGUGUAGAGAUCGCAUGAACUCUAUAUGAAAAGUGCUACGGGACUGGUAGAUGAUGGACUUAUGGCGCA
rnacentral:rRNA from 1 species